GCCAGCCCUAAACUUAGAUAGCAAAAUACACCCUAUCCGCCAGAGAACUACAAGCAAUAUACUUAAAACUCAAAGGACUUGGCGGCAUUCCAUAUCAACCUAGAGGAGCCCGUCCAAUAAUCGAUAAUACGCGCUCAACCCAACCAUUUUUGGCCACUCCAGCCUAUAUACCGCCGUCGCCAGCUAACCUUGUGAAAGAAAAGUAGUAAGCACAACAGCCCUCGCUAAUACGUCAGGUCAAGGUGUAGCUAAUAAAAUGGAUGAGAUAGGCUACAUUUUCUAUUAUAGAAAACACGAAAGAUACAAUGAAACCUUGUAACAGAAGGUGAAUUUAGAAGUAAAAUAAGAAAUGACCCUUAUUUUAAUAUUGCCCUGGAAUGAGCACACACCGCCCGUCACCCUCCUCAAAAAACAAGAUGAGGCAAGUCGUAACAUGGUAAGCGUACUGGAAAGUGCGCUUGGAUUUU
rnacentral:rRNA from 1 species